rnacentral:rRNA from 1 species
GACGGAGGAUGCAAGCGUUAUCCGGAAUUAUUGGGCGUAAAGCGUCCGCAGGUGGACAUACAAGUCUGCUGUGAAAGUGCAGAGCUUAACUCUGUAAAGGCGGUGGAAACUGUAGGUCUUGAGUAUGGUAGGGGUAGAGAGAAUUCCCGGUGUAGCGGUGAAAUGCGUAGAUAUCGGGAAGAACACCAGUGGCGAAAGCGCUCUACUGGACCAUAACUGACACUGAGGGACGAAAGCUAGGGGAGCGAAAGGG